GAUGAACGCUGGCGGCGUGCCUAAUACAUGCAAGUCGAGCGAACAGAUGAGGAGCUUGCUCCUCUGACGUUAGCGGCGGACGGGUGAGUAACACGUGGAUAACCUACCUAUAAGACUGGGAUAACUUCGGGAAACCGGAGCUAAUACCGGAUAAUAUAUUGAACCGCAUGGUUCAAUAGUGAAAGACGGUUUUGCUGUCACUUAUAGAUGGAUCCGCGCUGCAUUAGCUAGUUGGUAAGGUAACGGUUUACCAAGGCAACGAUGCGUAGCCGACCUGUGAGGGUGAUCGGCCACACUGGGACUGAGACACGGUCCAGACUCUUACGGGAGGCAGCGGUAGGGAAUCUUCCGCGAUGGGCGAAAGCCUGACGGAGCAACGCCGCGUGAGUGAUGAAGGUCUUCGGAUCGUAAAACUCUGUUAUUAGGGAAGAACAAAUGUGUAAGUAACUAUGCACGUCUUGACGGUACCUAAUCAGAAAGCCACGGCUAACUACGUG
rnacentral:rRNA from 1 species